UACGAAGGGUGCAAACGUUACUCGGAAUCAUUGGACGUAAAGCGCACGUAGGCGGCAUUCUAAGUCGGAUGUGAAAUCCCUCGGCUCAACCGAGGGCGUGCAUCCGAAACUGGAACGCUCGAGUAUGGAAGAGGGUCGCGGAAUUCUCGGUGUAGAGGUGAAAUUCGUAGAUAUCGGGAGGAACACCAGUGGCGAAGGCGGCGACCUGGGCCAAUACUGACGCUGAGGUGCGAAAGCGUGGGGAGCAAACAGG
rnacentral:rRNA from 1 species